UACAGAGGUCUCAAGCGUUGUUCGGAUUCAUUGGGCGUAAAGGGUGCGUAGGCGGCGCGGUAAGUCGGGUGUGAAAUCUCGGAGCUUAACUCCGAAACUGCAUUCGAUACUGCCGUGCUUGAGGACUGGAGAGGAGACUGGAAUUUACGGUGUAGCGGUGAAAUGCGUAGAUAUCGUGAGGAAGACCAGUUGCGAAGGCGGAUCUCUGGGCAGUUCCUGACACUGAGGCACGAAGGCCAGGGGAGCAAACGGG
rnacentral:rRNA from 1 species